UACGUAGGGUGCAAGCGUUGUCCGGAAUUAUUGGGCGUAAAGAGCUCGUAGGCGGUCUGUCGCGUCCGCUGUGAAAACUCGAGGCUCAACCUCGGGCUUGCAGUGGGUACGGGCAGACUAGAGUGCGGUAGGGGAGACUGGAAUUCUCGGUGUAGCGGUGAAAUGCGCAGAUAUCGGGAAGAACACCGGUGGCGAAGGCGGGUCUCUGGGCCGUAACUGACGCUGAGGAGCGAAAGCAUGGGGAGCGAACAGG
rnacentral:rRNA from 1 species